rnacentral:rRNA from 1 species
GACGGAGGGGGCUAGCGUUGUUCGGAAUUACUGGGCGUAAAGGGCGCGUAGGCGGACUAGUAAGUUGGGAGUGAAAGCCCGGGGCUUAACCUCGGAACUGCUUUCAAAACUGCUAGUCUUGAGUGAAGUAGGGGAAGAUGGAAUUCCUAGUGUAGAGGUGAAAUUCUUAGAUAUUAGGAGGAACACCGGUGGCGAAGGCGGUCAUCUGGACUUCAACUGACGCUGAGGCGCGAAAGCGUGGGGAGCAAACAGG